rnacentral:rRNA from 1 species
CCUUAGGGUUGUAAAGCACUUUAGUUGGGGAAGAAGUUGUCUAGUUUAAGAGAUGAGACAGUUGACGGUACCCAAAGAAUAAGCACCGGCUAACUCUGUGC